GGGGACACAAGAGUUGCAGGCGUGGCAGGAUCUGUGAGCAUGGCAGGAGCUGCAGCUGAGGCAGGAGGCUCCAGGUGAGGAAGGAGCUGCAGGUGUGUCUGAGGCAGGGGCCCCAGAGGAGGCAGGAACUGCCGGUGAGGCAGUCACUGCCGGUGAGGAUGGAGCUGAAGAUGUGGCAGGAGCCCCAGUUGAGAGGGAAGCUGCCGGUGAGGAGGAAGUUGGAGAUGUGGCAAGAGCUGCAGGUGAGGAAGAAGCCACAGGUGAGGAAGACUCUGAGAGUGAGGAGGAAGCUGAGGGCGAGGCAGGAGCUGAAGAGGAAGCAGGAUCGUCAGAUGAAGAGGGAGCUGCAGGGGACACAGGAGUUGCAGGCAUGGUGGCAUCUGUGAGCAUGGCAGGAGCUGCAGGUGAGGCGGGAGCUGCAGGUGAGGAGGAAGUUGGAGAUGUGGCAAGAGCUGCAGGUGAGGAAGAAGCCACAGGUGAGGAAGCUGAGAGUGAGGAGGAAGCUGAGGGUGAGGCAGGAGCUGGAGAGGAAGCAGGAGCGUCAGAUGAAGAGGGAGCUGCCGGGGACACAGGAGUUGCAGGCGUGGCAGGAUCUGUGAGCAUGGCAGGAGCUGCAGCUGAGGCAGAGGCUCCAGGUGAGGAAGAAGCCACAGGUGAGGAAGAAGCUGAGAGUGAGGAGGAAGCUGAGGGCGAGGCAGGAGCUGAAGAGGAAGCAGGAUCGUCAGAUGAAGAGGGAGCUGCAGGGGACACAGGAGUUGCAGGCAUGGUGGCAUCUGUGAGCAUGGCAGGAGCUGCAGGUGAGGCGGGAGCUGCAGGUGAGGAGGAAGUUGGAGAUGUGGCAAGAGCUGUGGGUGAGGAAGAAGCCACAGGUGAGGCAGGAGCCCCAAGUGAGGAAGAAGCCGCAGGUGAGGACAAAGC
rnacentral:lncRNA from 1 species